AUUCUGUUUCGGACCUUAAUUGCCAGCCGCCAGCCGGCAAUGAGACGACAGCGUCACUCACACUCAUUUGGCCAUAAAGUGAUGGUUUUAUGGUCCAGACAGCACCACAAAUCGCGUCCGACUCACGGUGGUGACUCUUAAAGGUUGUGCGAUCAUAAAUAAUUCCUUCAUGCAUCUUGCAUUGUCCUGCGUAUCUCUGGAGUUGAAGGGGGGUGUCAGGAUUGAUGAACUUUAAAUGUACAUAUUUUACGAAGAUUUGAUGAUCAGCUAAUUGUUUUCACAUAUUAUGAAAGGAUAAAACGAAGGCUUUAAAAUAUUGGAUUGUAGCUAAAAGUUUUCUGUAGUAUCUCUACAGUCAUACUCAAAUGAGUAAUCUAAAUCCUUUUUAAACUGCGAAAGGGUAAAAAAAGUCAAAAUAGAAC
rnacentral:lncRNA from 1 species